UACGAAGGGGGCUAGCGUUGCUCGGAUUGACUGGGCGUAAAGGGCGCGUAGGCGGUUCGUACAGUCAGACGUGAAAUUCCUGGGCUCAACCUGGGGGCUGCGUUUGAUACGUGCGGACUUGAGUGCGGGAGAGGGUCGUGGAAUUCCCAGUGUAGAGGUGAAAUUCGUAGAUAUUGGGAAGAACACCGGUGGCGAAGGCGGCGACCUGGUCCGAUACUGACGCUGAGGCGCGAAAGCGUGGGGAGCAAACAGG
rnacentral:rRNA from 1 species